rnacentral:other from 1 species
AAAAGUCUGCUGUGUGCGUGAUGUGAAAAUUGGGUAAUCCACAUUAUUUUUAAGGGAGCACCGCGUAGCGCAAAAAUAGGCAAGGUCUGUAUGCGGCUUUAAGUUCCGCAUAUCACACGGAAAGUCCGAAUAGUUUUUGCCUCGCUGCACCCACCUGCUUAGUCGCGGGUUAGUACUUUUUCACACACGGCAUAAGCGGAUUUUUU